rnacentral:rRNA from 1 species
UACGAAGGGGGCUAGCGUUGCUCGGAAUCACUGGGCGUAAGGGGUGCGUAGGCGGGUCUUUUAAGUCAGGGGUGAAAUCCUGGAGCUCAACUCCAGAACUGCCUUUGAUACUGAGGAUCUUGAGUUCGGGAGAGGUGAGUGGAACUGCGAGUGUAGAGGUGAAAUUCGUAGAUAUUCGCAAGAACACCAGUGGCGAAGGCGGCUCACUGGCCCGAUACUGACGCUGAGGCACGAAAGCGUGGGGAGCAAGCAGG